CGGCGCGCUUAAUGCAUGCAAGUCGAGCGAUGAGGACACCUUCGGGUGGCACAUCAGCGGCAGACGGGUGAGUAACACGUAAGUAACCUACCCCAGAGACAGGGAUAACCCUAGGAAACGAGGGCUAAUACCAGAUGAACUCCGCGAGGAGUAAAGGCUCCGGCGCUCUGGGAGGGGCUUGCGGCCCAUCAGCUAGUUGGUAGGGUAAAGGCCUACCAAGGCGAAGACGGGUAGGGGGUGUGAGAGCACGACCCCCCACAAUGGGACUGAAACACGGCCCAUACUCCUACGGGAGGCAGCAGCAGGGAAUAUUGCACAAUGGGCGAAAGCCUGAUGCAGCGACGCCGCGUGAGUGAAGAAGGCCUUCGGGUCGUAAAGCUCUUUUGUAGGGGAAGAGGAAGGACGGUACCCUGAGAAAAAGCGUCGGCUAACUACGUGCCAGCAGCCGCGGUAAGACGUAGGACGCGAGCGUUAUCCGGAAUUACUGGGCGUAAAGGGCCAGCAGGCGGCUAGGUAAGUUGUGCGUGAAAGCCUCGUGCUCAACGCGAGGAAGCCGGACAAUACUGUCUAGCUGGAGGGCAUCAGAGGGGAGUGGAAUUCCCGGAGUAGCGGUAAAAUGCGCAGAUAUCGGGAGGAACACCGAUGGCGAAGGCAACUCCCUGGGGUGUACCUGACGCUAAGUGGCGAAAGCUAGGGGAGCGAACAGGAUUAGAGACCCUGGUAGUCCUAGCUGUAAACGCUGGGUGCUAAGUGUGGGGCGUA
rnacentral:rRNA from 1 species